GUGAGUCAUCGAAUCUUUGAACACAAAUUGCACUUUCUGGUAUUCCGGAGAGUAUGCCUGUUUAAGGGUCAUUGUAAUAAAAAAUUGGUGUUGUUGCCACCUUCGUGGUGACACUUUGGAAUUGAGUCAUCUUACCUUUGGUUAAGUGACCUAACAUUUUUCAUAUGAAUUCGAAACGUAUUUAAUGUAUAUUGUACGUUUACGAAUAUCGGUUUUAUUAGGUGCGGUCCUUCUUAUGGUUCGCGUCUAUAAUUUCUCUUUUUUUGACCUCAAAUCAGUUAAGAAUACCUGAUGAACUUA
rnacentral:misc_RNA from 1 species